rnacentral:rRNA from 1 species
AUACGGAGGGUGCAAGCGUUACUCGGAAUCACUGGGCGUAAAGGACGCGUAGGCGGGUUUGUAAGUCAGGUGUGAAAUCCUACAGCUCAACUGUAGAACUGCACUUGAAACUACAGACCUAGAGUAUGGAAGGGGCAGAUGGAAUUAGUGGUGUAGGGGUAAAAUCCGUAGAUAUCACUAGGAAUACCGAAAGCGAAGGCGAUCUGCUGGGACAUUACUGACGCUGAGGCGUGAAAGCGUGGGGAGCAAACAGGAUUAGAAACCCUAGUAGUCC